rnacentral:misc_RNA from 1 species
GAUGAAGAACGUAGUGAAAUGCGAUAAGUAAUGUGAAUUGCAGAAUUCAGUGAAUCAUCGAAUCUUUGAACGCACAUUGCGCCCGCCAGUAUUCUGGCGAGCAUGCCUGUUCGAGCGUCAUUUCAACCAUCAAGCCCCAGGCUUGUGUUGGAGCCCUGCGGCCGCCGCAGCCUCCCAAAACCAGUGGCGGGCUCGCUAUCACACCGAGUGCAGUAGUUUACUCUUCGCUCAGGGCGUGUGGCGGGUGCUAGCCGUGAAACCCCCAACUUCUCAAGGUUGACCUCGGAUCAGGUAGGAAUACCCGCUGAACUUAAGCAUAUCAAUAAGCGGAGGA